UCCCCAGUUGCGCAAUUGGUUAGCGCGCGGUACUUAUAAUGCCGAGGUUGUGAGUUCGAUCCUCACAUGGGGAA
rnacentral:tRNA from 1 species